rnacentral:tRNA from 1 species
UUUAACGCGACUAUCCAUUGCUACAAUUCUAUACGAUGGUCUUUGCUUUCGUCCGUAUCGUUUAAG